rnacentral:rRNA from 1 species
AGUGAACGCUGGCGGUAGGCCUAACACAUGCCAGUCGAACGGCAGCACAGUAAGAGCUUGCUCUUACGGGUGGCGAGUGGCGGACGGGUGAGGAAUACAUCGGAAUCUACUUUUUCGUGGGGGAUAACGUAGGGAAACUUACGCUAAUACCGCAUACGACCUACGGGUGAAAGCAGGGGAUCUUCGGACCUUGCGCGAUUGAAUGAGCCGGUGUCGGAUUAGCUAGUUGGCGGGGUAAAGGCCCACCAAGGCGACGAUCCGUAGCUGGUCUGAGAGGAUGAUCAGCCACACGGGAAGUGAGAAACGGUCCAGACUCGGACGGGAGGCAGCAGGGGGGAAUAUUGGACAAGGGGCGCAAGCCUGAUCCAGCCAUACCGCGUGGGUGAAGAAGGCCUUCGGGUUGUAAAGCCCUUUUGUUGGGAAAGAAAAGCAGCAGGUUAAUACCCCGCUGUUCUGACGGUACCCAAAGAAUAAGCACCGGCUAACUUCGU